rnacentral:rRNA from 1 species
CAAACAAGCGUCUCAGUUCAGAUUGCAGGCUGCAACCCGCCUGCAUGAAGUCGGAAUUGCUAGUAAUCGCGGAUCAGCAUGCCGCGGUGAAUACGUUCCCGGGCCUUGUACACACCGCCCGUCACACCAUGAGAGCCGGGGGGACCCGAAGUCCGUAGCUUAACCGUAAGGAGGGCGCGGCCGAAGGUAAAACUGGUGAUUGGGGUGAAGUCGUAACAAGGUACC